rnacentral:sRNA from 1 species
CCCUCGAGAUAGGAGCCGAUCAGUCGGCGGA